rnacentral:misc_RNA from 1 species
AAGUCGUAACAAGGUUUCCGUAGGUGAACCUGCGGAAGGAUCAUUCAUAAUAAGUGUUUUAUGGCACUUUAAAAUCCAUAUCCACCUUGUGUGCAAUGUCAGCCUGAUCACACAUCCCAGCAAUGGGUCUGUGUGUGAAGGGUUUCAUUAUCCACAUCUAAUGGUUUUUCUUUUUAGUCUACUUUUGAGUAAAAAAAAAAUAAACUCAAAUACAACUUUCAACAACGGAUCUCUUGGCUCUC